rnacentral:rRNA from 1 species
ACGAACGCUUGCGGCGUGCUUAACACAUUCAAGUCGAACGGAAAGGCCCUGCUUUUGUGGGGUGCUCGAGUGGCGAACGGGGGAGUAACACGUGAGUAACCUGCCCUUGACUUUGGGAUAACUUCAGGAAACUGGGGCUAAUACCGGAUAGGAGCUCCUGCUGCAUGGUGGGGGGUGGGAAGUUUCGGCGGGUGGGGAUGGACUCGCGGCUUAUCAGCUUGUUGGUGGGGGAGGGGCUUACCAAGGCUUUGACGGGGAGCCGGCCUGAGAGGGUGGCCGGCCACAUUGGGACUGAGAUACGGCCCCGAAUCCUACGGGAGGCAGCAGUGGGGAAUAAUGCACAAUGGGCGGAAGCCUGAUGCAGCAACGCCGCGUGGGGGAUGAAGGCCUUCGGGUUGUAAACCGCUUUCGCCUGUGACGAAGCGUGAGUGACGGUAAUGGGUAAAGAAGCACCGGCUAACUACGUG